GGAGAGAGAUCUGCACAGAGCAGCCACAUCUCCGUCGUCGAGGGGGUGAAUUAGUGGCAAGUAAAGCAUCCUGCACAAUUAGGCGGAGAUGUUCAAAACGUUUGAAAUCGAUUUACUAAAGAACGGGUUGAAGGUGGAGUAGAGCGUGGUGCACAUUUUCGAAUACGAAAGAGGCGUUUUUGCUCACGAGCUUGAAAUCGAUGAAUGGGUUGAAGCUGGAAACUACAAGCAACCAGAUCCUGCGCAUUCCCUCCGGGAGUAAGAGUUCUAAUCCAAAUUAGUUACAGUUUUUGAGAUUUGAUUAACAGCCGACUAUGGAAGUAGAGCUUCUCCUUCGGGACAUCCGAUAAAAGUGGAACGAUACAGAGAAGAUUAGCAUGGCCUAAGAGGCGCUCGUUGUAUGCAUUUGUCAUACUGAAAAGGAUGCUCAUCACCUGUUUGAUGAAAUGCGUAGGCAAUCAGCUUUGAAAGUAAAUCCCUUUCUGCAGAUAUAUGUUAAUGGAGGGAAGAUAUAUGUUAAUGGAGGGAAGGACAACACAGAAAUUGGAGCUCUCACAGAUUUGGAGCUCUGUAUAACAGUUGGUCCAUCAUUAGAGCUCUGUAUUUCCACACUCCCACAUCCUUUAUUUGAUAUAUAGCAGACAA